rnacentral:lncRNA from 1 species
UUACAUUCAUGCUCUUCACCCAUCUCCAUUCAGAAAAGAAAAAGAAAUCCUUCGAUCAUCCAAGUUCGUAAUUUUUUUUUCUGCACUACUUUUGUUUUUUAAAGAUCAUUUUUUCGUGUACAUUUAUACAAUUGUCUAUUAUCAUUAGAUUAAAAUAUAUCUAAUAUUGUUUUAUAUAUAUAUUGUGUAUUUCAAUGCGCAUAUGUACAAUUUUUUUGAUUUAUGUUGAUUUAUCGUAUACACGAAAAUAUGAUCUAACUAUUAUUUUAUUUUCUCAUUUUUUGUAGAUAUGAAUAAUGAAAAAAGUUGAGUGUGACAUGCAGGGAAUGAAUAUGAAAAGGAUGACGAGGAAAAGUUCGAUGUGUAUAAUAAUUAAUAGGUGCAAUGAUGCUAUAUUUUCAAUAACAUGUCUAUAAUAUUUUUAUUAUUUGAAUAUAUGUAAAUAUCGUGUAUUUGUUAUCAACUACAUUCGAUGUGAAAAUCUCUUUUCUUUUGCCUGUCAUUAUAUGAAUAUCAUGUAAUAGUUAUAAUUAUAAUACAUUAAAUAUAUUGUAGAAUUUCAUUACAAUACCCUGUAGUACAGUUUGACACACAACCUGGG